rnacentral:ncRNA from 1 species
AUAAACGCAAUGAACGGGAGCAAGUAAAAGGGGUACUGUCUUCAGAGAGCCGCGGUUUUGGUGCAACGCGGCGGCAGGAACCUUUGAAUCUCGCCCGGGAGCGGAAGAGGGGAACAUAGGCAUGGCGCUGCUGCAGAUAAGGUAUAGAUUUGCAGGCAGCAAAAGUUUCUAAUAUGUACUCUCUUACGGGAUCCCCCGUGAACAGGAGUCCGAUAAAUAUUUCGCCCGGCCGGCGUAUUUUAUCGGACACUAAGCGGACGCACGUUUCGGCAUGAUGCCGAAAUCAAUGCGUCAAGUAGAGUGGUACCACGGAGGGUUUAAAGCCCGUCGUCUCUUGU